rnacentral:rRNA from 1 species
UACAGGGGGGGCAAGCGUUGUUCGGAAUUACUGGGCGUAAAGGGCUUGUAGGUGGCCAACUAAGUCCGACGUGAAAUCCCUAGGCUUAACCUAGGAACUGCGUCGGAUACUGGAUGGCUUGAAUCCGGGAGAGGGAUGCGGAAAUUCCAGGUGUAGCGGUGAAAAUGCGCAGAUAUCAGGGAAGAAACACCCCUGGCGAAGGCGGCUCUCUGGGACGGUACUGACGCUGAGACGCGAAAAGCUGGGGAGCGAACAGG